AUAUACCGGUUCUCGUUAGAUCACCGAAGGAAGCAUCAUUGGGCGCGGUCAGUACUUGGGUGGGUGACCACCUGGGAACACCGCGUGCCGUU